rnacentral:rRNA from 1 species
UACGAGAGGCCCAAACGUUAUUCGGAAUUACUGGGCUUAAAGAGUCCGUAGGCGGCGCAGAAAGUAGGGUGUGAAAGCCCUCGGCUCAACCGAGGAAUUGCGCUCUAAACUACUGUGCUUGAGGAACCUAGAGGUGAGCGGAACUGAUGGUGGAGCGGUGAAAUGCGUUGAUAUCAUCAGGAACACCGGAGGCGAAGGCGGCUCACUGGGGGUUUUCUGACGCUGAGGAGCGAAAGUGUGGGGAGCGAACAGG